AUCCAAAGCAGCAUUUCCUACAAUGAGGACCUUCUGCACAAGACCAUCCUGGUUGGAGACAGUGGAGUGGGGAAGACGUCACUGCUGGUUCAGUUUGACCAGGGCAAGUUCAUACCAGGCUCUUUUUCUGCAACUGUGGGCAUCGGAUUUACCGUGAUGCUGCUUGGAGAUUCAGGCGUGGGGAAAACCUGCUUCCUCAUCCAGUUCAAAGACGGGGCCUUCCUCUCUGGGACCUUCAUAGCCACUGUCGGCAUAGACUUCCGGAACAAAGUGGUGACAAUGGAUGGUGUGAAGGUGAAACUGCAGAUCUGGGACACUGCAGGCCAGGAGCGGUUCCGGAGCGUGACUCAUGCAUACUACCGGGAUGCACAGGCGCUCCUUCUCCUUUAUGACAUCACCAGCAAAAUGUCCUUUGAUAAUAUUAGGGCCUGGCUCACAGAGAUACAUGAAUAUGCCCAAAAGGAUGUGGUCAUAAUGUUGCUAGGCAAUAAGGCUGACAUGAGCAAUGAGAGAGUCAUCAGGACAGAAGAUGGGGAGUCGCUAGCCAGGGAAUAUGGAGUGCCUUUCAUGGAGACCAGCGCCAAGACUGGUAUGAACGUGGAGCUGGCAUUUCUGGCCAUUGCAAAGGACCUCAAGCAGCGAGCCGUCAAGCAGCCAGAGGAGCCCCGGUUCCAAAUCCAUGACUAUAUAGAGUCAGAAAAGAAGAGGGCCAGCUGCUGUGCCUACCUUUGAGGGAGGAGGAUGCGGGGAAGCCUGGAGGAGCUCGAGCCAAGGAAAGAAAUUGAGAAGCAGGCUGGCACACUGGGAACGCCGGCUAGGGGCUGUGUGGGGAAUCCUCUCCAAAGACAAUACCCCUUAGAGAAUAUUGUUCAUAGGUUAUAACUAAGAAGUAGCACAUGCCUAGCGUUGCGCUGUGUGUACGUCUGCAGGCAUGUAAGAGUGUGUGUGUGUGUGUGUGUGUGCGUUAGCUGUUCCUUUAAAGGCCAAAUACUCUCAAAUUCAUGAUUUGCCAAUCUAUGCUUAAAACAAAGCCUGGUCAGGAUCUGUAAUUUAGUACCCAGACCGAGCCUUUGUGAAGCAGGAGGAAAGGAAUGGGCCUGAACUCAGAUUCCUAGAGCAUGACUCCGUGCCACCUACUUAGGCAGGGCCACCUCUCCAAGGCUGGUAGGACUGGACUAGGUUGGCCUCAGCUGCAGAAGCAGGAUCUACACAGCGGAAUGUGUCCUUUGGUAGAGCCCAUAGGAGCAUUUUGGAUGAGAUCUGAUCAAGCUAAAGGGUUAAUUUAACAUCAGUAACACCACGGGGGGGGGGGCAAAGAAAGAAAAAGAUGCCAUAGCCCAUUUUCUUCUCCUAAAAGAUGAUGCUUUAUAUGCUGAAUGAAAUUAGCAGGAAUGUCCAGCAGAGAAAAAGUAGGUCACAUUUCCUUUGACCUCUGGCUCUUUCCUGCUUUCCACACCCAAAGCUCCUGCAGUCAGGGCUGCCUUCCUUCUCCUCCCUUCCUCCCUCUGCCCCAAGGAAAGGUCUGAAGGAUCCAAGUAUUAUUCCUAGUGUGCCUGUUACAUCAGGAAAAUGCUGCCGACUGCACUUAGCUUGGAGAUAAAUCAUUUGUGUAUAUAUAAAUAUAUCUUUCUCUGACUAUAAACAAAGCAAAGUUUAAGAAAGUUGACUCUGCUUUUCAUUUAGAUCAAACUAAAUGAAAGGGAAAGCCCAGCAAGUUGAAGUACAACAGGCUGGGAAGAAAAGUUGGCUCAGGGUAUCCCAUCCCUCCAAAAAGCACUUGGCACCAGGUUGACCAAGGAUGCUCCAUUCAGAUUCACAACUGGCACUUUUGCAUUUGUCUGCUUCAGAAAUUGCUGGAGUAUUAUAAAGUGACUGCCUUCCCUGUACUUCUUCAGUCUUUCCUGGAGUUCCUGGAGAAGAACCAAGCUCCCGUUUACAUCAGCUGAGCAGCAUGGCUGAAAAAUAAGCCCUGGGACAUAGUACAAUACUUGUCCACAUUACCAUCUUUUAGAAACUCCCACCAUUCCAUGAGGGUGAAUGUCACAAGGCCCCACUGGAGUGAUCUAGAAGUGUUUUCAGGAAUCAUGCCAUAUAUCAUUCAUAUAAAAAUGCUGCUCUUGUGUCUUCUUGAUAAUACAGAAUUAGCAAAUCCACUCAAAGCAAUAGUUGAUAUCCAAAGGAGCAGCUGUGCACAUCUGCCUUAUCAUAUGCAUGCUUAUUUUGAAGUAUGUCCCACUGGGUUCAAUGGAAUAUAUUCCUAAGUAAGUGGAUUGCAGCCUUAAUUGAUUUCAAUAGGAUUUUAGUAUGCUUAGCUUUCCCCGGAUGGCACUUUUGCCAUAAACUAUGCAGUGCAGCCUAGACUGUCUUUUUGUUGCAUAUGUCAUGCUCAUAUUUCCUUAGCUCUGCUUCCUGGAAAUACAUAGCUGGUGUGAAUUAUGCUUAGAUUGACGUGAUGCAGAUUGGGUGGUGGCCCUUAGGUUGAUGAAAAAUUUCCUGUGUCAGGGUUCUCAGUUGUUAAUUUCUGCAUAUAGAAAGUGGCAGUCAUUCUUACUGACCACCCUUAAAGGUAACAUAGAAGUUGAUAUCCCCAUCCCACAUCCCCUGUGGAUUUUCUUUUAUAAAACAUGAGUUCCUAAAUCAGUGUGGAUUGCCACUGGACCAGGCAAGCAUUCUCCAUGGCCUGCCAUGCUGGUUACAUGCUGCUGGAGGUAGAUGCAGUCAGCACCUUGGCAAUUAUAAAUGAGACUCUUGGAGGCAUAAGAGAGCUUCCUCCGUGCAAAGCCCUUUUAUUUAUUGCCUGAGUGGCAUGCAUUGCAUCGCAGCAAUACCGACUGUGCUAGUGCCAGGAUUUGGGGGGGGGGGACAUUGAGGAAGGUACCUUGAGUAAUUUCCCUUUAAGUUGGAAGGAGUGGGGCAUUUUUACACAAUGGCUUCAUGUAAAGUAAAAAAUACUGGUGCUGUUGGGGCAAUGAGCCCUUUGCCAGUCCUGGAGCUCUUGCACAGCCUGUGCUAUCGUUUGGAGCCCAACCCAUCCUUCAAUUAAGCACUGUGUCUGGUAAAAUGGAUUUUACAUUGAAAUGCUUCAAAGUAAUAACUGUAAAUAUGUCAAGGGAAAAAGCACAAUUAAGCCACUAGAAAAAAGACAGGAUUAUCAUCACCCGCCUUAGGGUUGCUCAUGCAUAUAUUUUUUUCUUCCAAGUAGAGAUUGAUCUUUGUGUAUAAUAUGUGCAAGACAGUGUGAGUGCCUUUUUUGCUGGGUGUACGCUGAUCAGCAGCUACCUAAUCAAGGUAUACUGAACCCGCAUAACUUACAAUGUGCAAAAUGCAGCCCAUAAAUAUUGUGGCAUGCUAGGUGCUUGACAAAGUAAGUAGUAAAAACAGAUGUUAUGCCUGCAGUAGGCUGUGUUUGGCCCUGAAAUGUCACAAGCUGUACACACCUGUUGCAUCCACACAACCAUAAAUACACCUCAGUUGUGAUGCAUGUGAUACAACAGAAACCUCAUUCCUGUGUAAAAAAAAAAGCAAGCAAAGGGUUGUAUCCAGCUAUGUUUUACUUAGAGUAGACCCAUCAAAUGUAAUGGACCUAAAUUAGUCAUGUCUAUUAAUUUCAGUGGGUCUACUCUGAGUAGGGCUAGCUGGACAAUUGCCUUUACAGUGAUGGUCGGACUGGAGUAUAAAGUCUACCCUAAACUGAAUCUUCUUGGGAAGUUUCUAGCUCAGUCUGUAUUUAUUCAGGAAUAGUGGAAAGUCCCUGCUUUAAGACAUGCAAUACCCUUUAUGACGUGAUGUCACAUCAUUCCAUAAGGGAUGAACCAGACACAGUAAUUUGUAAAUGGAGGCUAGCUUGCAUCCAACAGAUGUGAUAAGCUAUUUCUUAAUUGUAGCAGAACCUAAAUCAGAAGAAUCCUCCAAAUUUAAAAAUUCUGGCUACCUCCCAUUCUAUCAGGGAAGGGGCCAUAGAAAACAUGGUUUACAGGCAAAAACUCUUAGGUGCAAUCUCUAGUACAGGGGUGACUAACCUGUGGUCCUCCAGAUGUUGUUGGACUCCAUCAUUUUUAAUUUUUAACAUUUAUUUCAAAAUUUUAUAUUCCAUCCUUUAUUGUGAAAACAAUUUCAGGAUGGAUUCUGCACCAUCUUCAAGGCCAGCCCCAUGUAAAGCACAUUAUAGUUGUCUAUUGGGAGGUUACUCAUGCACAGAUUAUUGUGGCUAAACUGUCCUUAUCCAGGAAUGGCCAUAGUUGGUGAACCUGCCAGAGCUCAAAAUGGAUUCUCUCUGCUACUGUGGCCACUUGAGCCUAUAGUGGUAAGAUGGAAUCAAGGAAUACCACCAGAUUAUGUAGUUGGGAUGCAAGCCCCUGCAGAACAAGUCAGUAACCCAACCCAACCCAGGAACAUCCAACCUGUAGCACUCAAACCGUAGCACCUCUUGAACACUGCCCAUGCUGGCUGGGGCUGAUGGGAGUUUAACAACAUCUGGAGGGCCACAGGUUAGCCACCACUGGUCUAACAUAUCCAGUUGAACAAUUUCUGGUAGCAGGGUUAGGAAAGACCCUUGCCUGAGACGUGGAAGAACCACUGUUGUCGUUGAAAUAGACAAUAUUGGGUUAGGUGACCAAUGCUCUGAUUUCAGCAGCAUGUGUUCAUAAUAACUUCAUAAUUUGAUUUUUUUAAAUGUACUUGUCUUCUAGAACAGUAUUCAUCAUCUACCACUGGGCCCAAUUUAGGGCAGAAAAGGGAAAGCAGGAAGAAAUAAAGGCUUGGAUCCAGAUGACAUUAGUUGGAUUUGGGUCCCAUAACUUCAGUUCAAUUGGUUUCAAUAGGAACUGUUCUAUCAGUGUAGUCUGGAUCCAACCCAGUAUUUUGAGACAGUUGAAAUUACUCAUGCAUACAAUUCUUAUUCUUUGUAACUUGCUUUUAUGUUAAUAAAAAGUCUACUGUCUAAAUGGGUACAUUCAUAGUAAAAUUUGUGGUUGUAAGCUGGAGCAGAGUGCAUAACAUAAGAUCCCUGUUUUGUGUUUUGUGUGUUUCUGUGUGCUGCAUUUCCUUUGUGUAUCUAUACAUAAUCCAGAUCUUUCUACUUUCUCUUCCCAAUAUCAGAGUCAUCAGCCUUCCAAAGAAUUAAAACGGAAAGCCAAAAACAUAUAAAAGAGCAUUUGAUUGUUCAUUAUGCUCUAGCCAAAUAAAUCCACAUUUUUAUAUCAUGGGGAUUUUUAAAAACAAACCAGAAAACACCCAUAAUUGCAUUGCAGAUAAUGGUGUAUAGCUUCUAACACACAAUCUAAUAUAUCCUGGUAAAUCUUAACCAUAUUGGCUCUUGUUUUUUAAAAUAAACAAUAUUCAGGUCCUCAUGAUUAUUCAGAAAAGGCUUUAAAACUUGUAAGCAGUUGGACCUAAAGGCUCAGCCACCACAGUAAAUGUUAGAUGGUGCUUCAUGCACUUCUGCAUUUAACAGUCAAGCCCUAGUCUUCUCUGUGGCUGCCUGGACCCUGUGGUCAGGGCUAGUCCAGGAUCAAAUGGCACCCCAGGUGAGCAUCAUCUUCAGCAAACAUACCCUCCAUUUGUUGAGAAUGACAUAAAUACCCUUUCACAAUUACAUAAUAAAACACGGCUGAGAAGUGAGAACAUUGCAGGAGGCUUAAAAGGAAGUUCUAAGAAAGUCUGUACAUCUCCACAAGAUUCUACAAAGAUUCAGAACAUUUUAGAAGAUUAGUGACAUACGAAUCACAUACAGAAGACCUAAAAUGUUUUGCUCCAAGCAUUCUAUUCCUCUUUUGUUGCUCAGUUGCCUGGGUUACCUCCCCACCCCCCCCAAAAAACCCAGCCCUGCCUGUUGUUAUAAUGUCUUGUUCCUACAUUCCUAUAGACCCACAGGAUCCCAUGAAUCUCGGCUGUCUUUCUUCACAGUUUCUGUUGUAGGCUAAGAAAAAAAUGGGGAAGGUCUAGAUAUUUGUAAAAAGCAGAACAAGAUAUGCAAAUGAUUUAUACAAUGUUACUUAAUUUGCACAGUUCACUCCUAUUGCAAACUUUAAUCUUUCUGAUUAUAGAAUGUGAGUUUUAGUACAAAGUAUGAGAUCAGGAAUUCUUCAUUAUAAAUUCAGUGGAGUGACACCUUUUCAAGCAAGUACAAGCUUAAGGCUGCAACAAUCCUAUGCCGGCUUAUUCAGUGAUGCUUACUUCUGAAUAAACAUGCAUAGGAUCACACUAAAAGUGAUUGUCUUGAUCAGACCAGAGCAUGUUUCAGGCUCAAGCUCACCUGUUGCAAUUGAUCUGAUCAUCCUUGAGGAAAGUGGCAAGGGUUUUGCUUAAUAAUCUAUGUAACAUUAGAAGUGAUGGCCAUUUCCCACAAUCAGUGAAACAUGGAUUGGCUCAAUGUGCAUUGCAGAAGUUUAGCCCACAAAGAAGCAAUUGUGUAACUGAUUCACUAUAUAGUCAUGGUGCAGCUCAUUGCAUACACACACGCACACAGCAUUGCCACAGUCAGCCCAUGUUUAGAAACUUUAAUAUGGUACACAAAAGUGCAGCAAUCUGGCUACACAGUGAAGCAGUCACUGAACAGCUUCGUCUCAAGCUGAAUUACAGGGCAGAUUGAAUCAUCUCACAAUUGGGUGUGCAUGGUUGUGUGAAUUUGCCCUUAGUUCUCUGCAAAGGGUUUUUUUGUAUUACUAUUUUAAAAGUGGCUAUGAUUUUAAAAAUAGGAUAUAUAACCCUAAGUCACAGCACAUAUUUAAAUGUUACACUACUUCAUUUAUGUUUAAUCAUAGCCUGUUUGAUAAUCAUCUUACUCAGCUAUAUAACACCUAUGCAAAUACCCAUUUCACAUUAUUACACAGCUGUGCUACAUUUUUGCCCAUAACACUUUGGAGACAAGGACAAGUUUCAUUACCUCUUCCUUUCUUACCCUUCAUGCUUAUUGUUCACAGUUACUUCUUUCUAUGAUCACUAGCUAUAGUGCAUUUUUUUAAAACAACAACAACACAGGCUUAUUACUAUGGCAGUCCUUACCAAAUAGAGAUCAUAUAGGCAACUUGAUGACCUAUAAUCAUGUACCCGCUCAGAUUUGGCUACAUAACUGUGAUCAAGCUAAAUCAGAGUGAGGACAUGUAGCACUGACCUAACUCUGAAUGGAUUUUCUAACAAAGCUAGUUAGCCAAUCAGGUUUUAUUUUAGAAAAUGUCUAUUCUACCAUUCCACAGUAAGAAUAGUGCUCUGUUCACCUAUGUGAUGACAUCACGAAGUAAAAUCUGAGUGGGGCAGUGCUUCCUGACCUCACUCUGAAAGGGCAAACAUUUUCACCCCAUUUUGCAGCCCCGCUUCCUGAACAACAGCAGAAAAAGGAUGUGUGAUUGAUAAAAUAUUAUUUCCCCCCUAUGAAAUGCCCAUCCCUGUUUCAGUUCAGUCCUAUGUUAUUAUACAUAACUUCCCUAUUCUCAUUUUAUAGCUGGCUGAGAAAUAAAGGUGUGCAGCACAAUCCUAAGUGUGUUUACUAAGUCACACUGUGUUCAGAGGACUUUACACCCAAGAAAGUGCGCAUAGCAUUGUAGCCUAAGUCAGGGACUUUCUCUGAGGCUACCAUGUAAGGGUUUUAGUCCAAUCCAGUGCAUGCUGACUUACAAGUAAAUGUCAUAGAGUUAACUGGGGCUUAUUUCUAUGUAACUGUGUUUAGAGCUGCAGCCUGAGACUGUGAUUAAAUUUUAACCAGGUCCUUAAAUAAAAAGCUGACGCUCCAUCUAGUGCUGUACUAUACUUUUCUUCUCUCCAGAUUCACUUUUUCUUUCUCUGUUGUUGACAGUCAAAGUUCCAUCAGUACAUUACAUCUGGACAUGAAACCCUUGUUAACAAUCAAAACUACUCUGGCUUGCCCCAUUAUCAUGUCAGCUAGCAAUAAACAGCCAGAAAAUUAUAUGUUUUUGCUUAUUUAUUCCUUCCGUAUAGAGUUCCAGAAUGGUUGCCAUAAUUAUUUCUGGAGUUAAACAUCUCCAGGACUGACUGUGAUACCGUAGCAGCUUUUCCAGUGUAUAUGUGGGGCUUACUCUGCUGCUGCAACAAUAUUUGCAUUCAGAGUAUUUCCUGUUCUUGAGCAUUUGGUUUGACACACAGUGACACCUUUUGUCUUUGCUGCUACUUAUGGAUUUCUGGUUGCAAGUUUACUGA